UGCAAGUCGAACGGAAUCUUCGGAUUUAGUGGCGGACGGGUGAGUAACGCGUGAGAAUCUGGCUUUAGGUCUGGGACAACCACUGGAAACGGUGGCUAAUACCGGAUGUGCCCUUCGGGGUGAAAGGUUAACUGCCUGAAGAUGAGCUCGCGUCUGAUUAGCUAGUUGGAAGUGUAAAGGACUCCCAAGGCGACGAUCAGUAGCUGGUCUGAGAGGACGAUCAGCCACACUGGGACUGAGACACGGCCCAGACUCCUACGGGAGGCAGCAGUGGGGAAUUUUCCGCAAUGGGCGAAAGCCUGACGGAGCAAUACCGCGUGAGGGAGGAAGGCUCUUGGGUCGUAAACCUCUUUUCUCAGGGAAGAAAAAAAUGACGGUACCUGAGGAAUAAGCAUCGGCUAACUCCGUGCCAGCAGCCGCGGUAAUACGGAGGAUGCAAGCGUUAUCCGGAAUGAUUGGGCGUAAAGCGUCCGCAGGUGGCAAUGUAAGUCUGCUGUUAAAGAGUCUAGCUCAACUAGAUAAGAGCAGUGGAAACUACAUAGCUAGAGUACGUUCGGGGCAGAGGGAAUUCCUGGUGUAGCGGUGAAAUGCGUAGAGAUCAGGAAGAACACCAGUGGCGAAGGCGCUCUGCUAGGCCGUAACUGACACUGAGGGACGAAAGCUAGGGGAGCGAAUGGGAUUAGAUACCCCAGUAGUCCUAGCCGUAAACGAUGGAUACUAGGCGUGGCUUGUAUCGACCCGAGCCGUGCCGUAGCUAACGCGUUAAGUAUCCCG
rnacentral:rRNA from 1 species